rnacentral:rRNA from 1 species
AUUGAACGCUGGCGGCAGGCCUAACACAUGCAAGUCGAACGAGUGGCGGACGGGUGAGUAAUGUCUGGGAAAAUGCCUGAUGGAGGGGGAUAACUAAUGGAAACGGUAGCUAAUACCGCAUACUAUCAGAUGUGCCCAGAUGGGAUUAGCCUGUUGGUGGGGUAACGGCUCCACAAGGCGACGAUCCCUAUCUGGUCUGAGAGGAGGACCAGCCACACUGGAACUUAUACACGGUCCAGACUCCUACGGGAGGCAUCAGUGGGGAAUAUUGCACAAUGGGCGCAAGCCUGUUGCAGCCAUGCCGCGUGUAUUAAGAAGGCCUUCGGGUUGUAAAGUACUUUCAGCGGGGAGGCGUUACCCGCAGAAGAAGCACCGGCUAACUCCGUGCCAGCAGCCGCGGUAAUAC